UAAGGAAUAUUGGUCAAUGGACGCAAGUCUGAACCAGCCAUGCCGCGUGAAGGAUGAAGGUCCUCUGGAUUGUGAACUUCUUUUAUCUGGGACGAAAACGGGAUUUUUAUCUCAAUUGACGGUACCAGAGGAAUAAGCACCGGCUAACUCCGUGCCAGCAGCCGCGGUAAUACGGAGGGUGCGAGCGUUAUCCGGAUUUACUGGGUUUAAAGGGUGCGUAGGUGGGCUUAUAAGUCAGUGGUGAAAUCUCCGAGCUUAACUUGGAAACUGCCGUUGAUACUAUAGGUCUUGAAUUAUCUGGAGGUAAGCGGAAUAUGUCAUGUAGCGGUGAAAUGCUUAGAUAUGACAUAGAACACCUAUUGCGAAGGCAGCUUACUACAUAUAAAUUGACGCUGAGGCACGAAAGCGUGGGGAUCAAACA
rnacentral:rRNA from 1 species